rnacentral:rRNA from 1 species
GACGAACGCUGGCGGCGUGCUUAACACAUGCAAGUCGAACGGAAAGGCCCUGCUUUUUUGGUGUUCUCGAGGGCCGAACGGGUGAGUAACACGUGAGUAACCUGCUCUUGACUUUGGGGUAACUUCACGAAGCUGGGGUUACUACCGUAUAGGAUCUCCUGCUGCAUUGUGGGGGUUGGAAAGUUUCGGCGGUUGGGGAUGGACUCGCGGCUUAUCAGCUUGUUGGUGGGGUAGUGGCUUACCAAGGCUUUGACGGGUAGCCGGCCUGAGAGGGUGACCGGCCACAUUGGGACUGAGAUACGGCCCAGACUCCUACGGGAGGCAGCAGUGGGGAAUAUUGCACAAUGGGCGGAAGCCUGAUGCAGCAACGCCGCGUGCGGGAUGACGGCCUUCGGGUUGUAAACCGCUUUCGCCUGUGACGAAGCGUGAGUGACGGUAAUGGGUAAAGAAGCACCGGCUAACUACGUG